UAGCACAUUUGCGGACCAAUGCAUAACAACAAGUAAAAACGACAUUACGGUAAUUUUCUUUUUUGGUAAUGAUGUAUUUUCAGUUAUGCUAUCUUACUGCAUCACAAUCUCAAUUUACAUAAAAAGUGGACUUAGCACGUUUGCGAACUAAGCCAACGAUAUUUUGAAAGCAUUGAGUAGUUA